CUCAAUGGUAGCUGUGCGCGGGAGAUCUUCGGGUCUGCCGGUUUCCGUAGUAACCCGGUUCGCCAACCCGCGUACAGCUACCACCCAU
rnacentral:antisense_RNA from 2 species